GUGCUCACUUCAGCAGCACAUGUACUCAGAUUGGAGCGAUACAGAGAAGAUUAGCGCAGCCCCUGCUCAAGGAUGACACGCAAAUUCGUGAAGCUUUCCAUACUUUU